CAGGGGGGUCCUUAUGGGGUCAGGGGGGUGUUGGGAUAUGGGGUCACAGAUCUGCCCCUUCUGGAUCCAAUUCCUGCCCAAGCUGCUCAAUGCCACCGGUAUGGGGGACUUAUGGGGUCUUUAUAGGGUCAGGGGGUCCUAUGGGGUCCUAAUAGGGUCAGGAGGACCUUAUGGGGUCAGGGGGGUCUUUAUGGGGUCAGGGGGCGUUGGGAUGUGGGGUCACAGAUCUGUGCUGUCUGGACCCGAUUCCUGCCCAAGGUCUUUAUGGGGUCUUUAUAGGGUCAGAGGGUCCUAAUAGGGUUGGGAGGUCCUUAUGGGGUCAGGGGGGUGUUGGGAUGUGGGGUCACAGAUCUGCGCCUUCUGGACCCGAUUCCUGCCCAAGCUGCUCAAUGCCACCGGUAGGGGGGACUUAUGGGGUCUUUAUGGGGUCUUUAUAGGGUCAGGAGGUCCUUAUGGGGUCAGUGGGGUCCUUAUGGGGUCAGAGGGAUGUAGGGAUGUGGGGUCACAGAUCUGCACCUUCUGGACCCGAUUCCUGCCCAAGCUGCUCAACGCCACCGGUCCUCCGGAAGACGCGGAACGCGAAUGGCGGCUGGAAUUCCACCGCUGGAGUUCCUACAUGGGCCGCUGGAGGACUCAGUUCGAGCACUACAGCCGGCAGCAGCCCUGCGCCACACUCUGAGACACCCCAACAACAGCCGGAGGUGUCACCAGCACCCGGAGCUGUCACCUACAAUGUCCCCAACACCGUCACCAACACCCAAAGCUGUCACCAACAACACCCAGAGGAUCCCCAACACCCGGAGCUGUCACCUGCUAUGUCCCCAACACCGUCACCAACACCCAGAGAUGUCACCUACAAUGUCCCCAACACCGUCACCAACACCCAGAGCUGUCGCCAACAACACCCAGAGGAUCCCCAACACCCGGAGCUGUCACCUGCAAUGUCCCCAACACCGUCACCGACACCUGGAGCUCUCACCAACACCCAAAGCUGUCGCCAACAACACCCAGAGAGUCCCCAACACCCGGAGCUGUCACCUACAAUGUCCCAACACCGUCACUGACACCUGGAGCUGUCACCAACAAUGUCACCAACACCUGGACUUGUCCCCUACACCCAAAGGUGUCCCCAGCAACACCCAGAGGUGUGCCCAACACCCGGAGCUGUCACCACUAAUGUCACCAACACCUGGAGAUGUCAACAACACCCAGAGCUGUCACCAACAACACCCAGAGGAUCCCCAACACCUGGACCUGUCCCCAACACCGUCACCAACACCCGGAGCCAUCCUCAGUGUUGUCACCACUCCCAACACCUGGACCCGUCACCAACACCCAGAGGUUUCCCCAACAACACCCAGAGGGUCUCCAACACCCGGAGCUGUCACCAACACCGUCACCAACACCCGGAGCCAUCCUCAGAUUUGUCACCAUCCCCAACACCUGGACCUGUCCCCAACACUGUCACCAACACCUGGAGGUGUCACCAACACCUGGAGUGUCCCCAGCAUCGUCACCAACACCCAGAGCUGUCACCAACACCCGGAGCUGUCACCAACACCGUUCCCAACACCUGGAGCCAUCCUCCUCAGUGUUGUCACCAUCUCCAACACCUGGAAUUGUCCCCAACACCUGGGGGUGUCCCCAACACCUGGACCUGUCCCCGGCACUGUCAGCAACACCCGGAGGUGUCACCAACACCUGGAGUGUCCCCAACACCGUCACCAACGCCCAGACCUGUCCCCAACACCCGGAGCCAUCUUCAGUGUUGUCACCAAACCCAACACCCGGAAUUGUCCCCAACACCUGGGGGUGUCCCCUACACCGUUCCCAGCACCCCGAGUGUCCCCAACACCUGGACCUGUCUCCAACACCAUCACCAACACCCGGAGCUGUCACCAACAUUGUCCCCAACACCCAGAGCCAUCCCCGGUGUUGUCACCAACCCCAACACCCGGACCUGUCCCCAACACCCAGACCCAUCCCCAACAGUCGGACCCGUCCCCAACAGUCAGACCUGUCCCCAGCAGUUGGACCCGUCCCCAACAGUCGGACGUGUCCCAACAGUCAGACCCGUCCCCAACAGUCAGACAUUUCCCCAACAGUCAGACCUGUCCCCAACACCCGGACCUGUCCCCAACACCCGGAUGUAUCCCCAACACCUGGACCUGUCCCCAACAGUCAGACGUGUCCCAACAAUCAGACCUGUCCCCAACACCUGGAGCUGUCCCCAACAUUGUCCCCAACACCCAGAGCCAUCCCCGGUGUUGUCACCAACCCCAACACCCGGACCUGUCCCCAACACCCAGACCCAUCCCCAACAGUCGGACCCGUCCCCAACAGUCAGACCUGUCCCCAGCAGUCGGAUGUGUCCCCAACAGUCGGACGUUUCCCCAACACCUGGACCUGUCCCCAACAGUCGGACGUGUCCCAACAGUCAGACCCGUCCCCAACAGUCAGACAUGUUCCCAACAGUCAGAUGUGUCCCCAACACCUGCACCUGUCCCCAACACCCGGACCUGUCCCCGGACCCGUCCCCAACAGUCAGACCCCUCCCCAACACCCGAACCCGUCCCCAACAGUCGGACAUUUCCCCAACAGUCGGACAUGUCCUCAACAGUCAGACCCAUCCCCAACAGUUUGACCUGUCCCCAACAGUCAGAUGUGUCCCAACAGUCGGACAUGUCCCCAGCAGUCAGAGCUGUCCCCAACAGUCGGACGUGUCCCCAACACCAUCACCAACAGUCAGAUGUGUCCCCAACACCCGCACCCGUCCCCAACAGUCGGACGUUUCCCCAACAGUCGGACCUGUCCCCAACAUUGUCCCCAACGCCCGCCGCCAUCACCGCUCCUGUCACCCUACCAACACCCACAGUUGUCCCCACUGCUGUCCCUGUCACCAACACCCGCAGCUCUGAUUGUCCCCACAGCGCCCCAUAA
rnacentral:lncRNA from 1 species